rnacentral:rRNA from 1 species
UACAGAGGGGGCAAGCGUUAUUCGGAAUUAUUGGGCGUAAAGAGCUUGUAGGCGGUUUGUCGCGUCUGCUGUGAAAAUCCGGGGCUCAACUCCGGACUUGCAGUGGGUACGGGCAGGCUAGAGUGUGGUAGGGGAGACUGGAAUUCCUGGUGUAGCGGUGGAAUGCGCAGAUAUCAGGAGGAACACCGAUGGCGAAGGCAGGUCUCUGGGCCACUACUGACGCUGAGAAGCGAAAGCAUGGGGAGCGAACAGG